rnacentral:lncRNA from 1 species
GUCUAACAACAAUGAACAUGAUAUGAUAGAUCUGUUACGAGCCCAGCUUGAGAAUCCUAGAAAAUUCGAGAAGAAAAUCAUAUAUAGCGUUCUAACGGCCCAGGCGACUCUAUCCUCGAAAACUCUCCGGCCCCGUAUAAAUACGCAAUCAAUCCUCCGCUCUCUCAACCAGUCAAGCAAAGCAGUAAUUCCCUAACAACUCGAAUUCCCAAACGAAACCCAACAGUUUUUACCAUGUCGAUCAUCCCCAACUUCCGACGAAGCAGCAUUUUCGACCCUUUCUCUCUUGACCUCUGGGACCCCUUCAAGGAUUUCCAAUUCCCUUCCUCCUCAUCACUCUCCACAUUCCCUGAAUUUUCCCGGGAAAAUUCUGCUUUCCUGAACACUAGAAUCGACUGGAAGGAGACCCCGGAAGCUCAUGUGUUCAAGGCUGACAUUCCGGGGCU